rnacentral:rRNA from 1 species
UACAGAGGGUGCGAGCGUUAAUCGGAAUUACUGGGCGUAAAGCGCACGUAGGUGGCGACGUAAGUCGGGUGUGAAAGCCCCGGGCUCAACCUGGGAAUUGCAUUCGAGACUGCAUUGCUGGAGUACGGAAGAGGAAGGCGGAAUUCCCGGUGUAGCGGUGAAAUGCGUAGAUAUCUGGAGGAACACCGGUGGCGAAGGCGGCAUCCUGGACCAACACUGACACUGAGGAGCGAAAGCCAGGGGAGCAAACGGG